rnacentral:misc_RNA from 1 species
CUUUAUCAACGGUUUCCCGCGAAUGAAAGUAGAAGAAUAUUGAUGCCAAAUCUAUGUCUAACCAACUCAAAGAUAAUUGAAACACGAGAGAACAAUGCCUGCACGUCGUGCUCAGAGAUGUGGCUGUGGAAGAGGAGUGUUUGGACUUAUAGACUGGACCACACCCCUCAGACGACCAGCUGCUCUGAAGAAUUUUCAGGAUGCCCCAGUUUCUCCUGGAGUAACUUCCCCUCAAUCAUGUACCUCCCCUUUCUCUCCAUUUCCAAUUUCUCCAGGAAAUGCUGUUGGUUCUUGGGCAGAUGCCAUGGAGAGUCCAUCUGCUAAGAAGUUCAAGUGUGGAGACAAACUGUUGAUGAAAUACAGCUACACAGCCAAUGAAGACAGUCCUUUGGAUCAGCCUGAACUUAACGUUUGUCAGCAGGAUUACAUAGAAUUUGUCUGUUUCCAUGCCGACAACCAACUGUGGUCCCGUGUGUGUAAUGCUAACGGGAAGGAAGGUUAUGUACCGACAGAUUAUCUCAUGAUUGUGGAAGAACAGGUGAAUUCAUUGCCAUGGCUACCAAAGUCAGCCGAGGUACAGCAAGAAAAAGUUGAAUAUAAGCCAUACAAAUCUGCAUACCAGUCCAACAUGGCCAAGGAAUCCUCGAAGCAACAGUACACCUGUGAUAUCUGUUGUCGUGAGUUUAAUGGACCCUUGCCAUACAAUGCUCACAUGAAAAGUAAAGCACACAUGGAGGAGGUCAUGCUACUAGAGGACAAUUCCUGAGGGCGGGCAACAUGUAAGGGGAGACAACUAGUAAGGGGAGACAACUCAUAAGGGUAGACAACUCAAAAGUGGAAACAACUCAUAAGGGUAGACAACUCAUAAAGGGAGACAACUCGUAUGGGGAGACAACUCGUAAGGGUAGACAACUCAUAAGGGGAGACAAAUACUAUUGACUGUUGGCUACAAUUAUGACAGGAUACCUGUGGAGGGUAGGCAGCUAUCUCUGAGGACUCAUCUGUGUGGUGAUCUGUUAUAUAUGAAAUUAUAUCUUUUGGAGGGAGACAACUAUUUUAAAAAGACAUCACUUGAUGGUGUUAUACCUAUCAUGAAAGGACAUUUCAUGAUGGUAGACAAGAAACCCUCAGAAGACAAAUCAAACUGUAGACUUAUAUCAUCAGGAUUUAUAUUGUGAGUAAAGAAAAAUAUCAGGAAACAAAAUUUAAGAUAAAUAUCAUCAGAAGACAACCUUACAUUGAAGACAGGUGACUACUUUAAGGGAAUCUCUGAGGUGAGAAGUUUUCAAAGAGGCUACAUCCUUAAAGAUUUUAUCCAAGCUUGAGAGUCAACUCAAAAAGUCAUGCCCCCAAAAAAUGUCAAAUAUGAAGGUAUAGGAAUACUAGAAAAAAGUCUACAGCAAGGCCAUGAUGCAUUAUGUAAGGCGAGCUAACUCUCAUAAAAUCUUACAAGGGGAGAUAAUUAAAAUGCCAAAAUUAUUCACAUAUAAUGCAACAUUGUUAUUGGUAAAAUACAGGUACAUGUAUUGAUUUACGGCUUAAGGCUGUAAGUUGUGGUUUAUUAAUAUGUUACAGUUAGUAUUAUUUAGAUAUAACUAUGAAUCAUGUAUGAUAUUAUACUUGUUUUUAUGUCAUUUAGUGUCUAGUGUUGAAAUGAAGAUGUUCCUGAUGUAAUUAUAAUUAUGUAUUAUUAGGCUUUGAUGUUCACUAGUUCAUCCUUAUUUUGCCACACGUUUUGUUUUACUUAUUCUUGUUUUGUUGUUUGUUUUGCGUAAAGAUGACAAACAUUCCGUUAUUUUUCUUUUCACUUAUGUAACGAGAUUGAAUGUGUAUGAAAUAACCAGAAUGUAUGUGAUACAUACAUGUGUAUGUACAUUCAUGUUUUGGUAUCCUAGGUUUAAGUGAUUGUAUAACAACAGAACUAGCUUCCUUCACUUUUUACAGACAAAAGGUAAAAUGACAACCGAACGGCAUCAUUGUAUAGUAAUUUCAGUGUUUAUUUUUACCAAUAACAAUGUGUUUCCACUGAAUUUUAGAUAUUGGGGUAAAUAUUUGAUACAUUUUCAAGAUUCUGUAUCCCUAGGUUUUUAGUUACAAAGAGCAAUUGUUGAAAACUGGCGUUGCAACCAACUGUUUUAGGGAUGAAAAACCCUCAUUUUGGGAUAUCUGGGAACACUGAACUUAUUCCUAAAGUUGGUGCAAACAGUCAAAAAAUAAAAUCUAUCAAAGAAUAUUGAUACAUUAAUAUUUUGUACAUUCUAAGCAGGUAAAUUAGCAGGUGCAGUUUGUGAAAUGUUUAAAUACAUGGUGACUGAUAGCUAAUUAUUGAAAUGUUAAUUCAUGGAGUAAAUAGUAUGUUAUAAUUCCAAUAUACAUUAUUAUUAUUUGCUGAUUUAAAUAUAUACCAUAAUGAUCAGAUUCCUGGUAAAUAUUCAUUUCUUGUUCAUGUUUCAUAUGAAAAUGAUCAUAAAUAAAUACUCUUCACUGCCUUUAAAUUGAUUAUGUGUAGUGGAUACUUUUUGUAGAAAAUGAUUUUGGUGGCAAACCAUUCAAAUUGUUUUGUUGUGUUCAUGAUGUCAACUUCACGAGGUACAAAGUGGACAUAGUUACAUGUUCGUGUUAAACACCGAACUCAUUCACCCCUGAAAUUUUGUAAUGAACUAUUCCAACCUUUGAAUUGGAAGAGUUCAAAUGUGUCUUCAGGGGUGAAUGAGUUGAUACACAUAUCAUUGUUUCACCCAUUGUAAUCUCCAUAAUACAGUAUUAUGACUCUUCAAGAGAAAAUCUAAGAAAUGUUCAUGUUUCCAUUUUUGUUCACUGAAGCCAAAGAUUAAAGAACAUGUCUCAUCUAAUUUCUAUAAAUUCUGUCCUACAUUUAUAUGUACAGAGUAUGUCUCCCUUGAUCUCUAGGAGGUUUCUUGUACAGUUAUAUAUACACACCAUAUUUGCCAUAAUCAGUGCCCUUGCCCUUUCCCUCAGCAUGUUUUAAAGGAUAUAAUGCCACCUUUUCCCGGGAAAGAUGUAUCAGAUAUAUCCAAGACAUAUUUCCUUAUUCACUUUAUAUCUGAUACUUCAGCCUGUGUACCAAUAAGACUGUUUUACAGUUCUGUUGUAAAAAAGGAAAUAAAAAACAUUUUUUUUUAAUUCUCCGUCAGAAUAUGUCCGACAGUUAUAUUGUCUUGCAUUGUAACAGCAACUGCCACAACCUAUCAUUUGUUAUCUUAAUAACCGCCCUCUGAACCCUUUCAUCACUGUAGACCAUAAUGGACUCACCCAGAUAAAUGUAUGGUAGACUCUCCUUAAGUUACCCAAGGGUGAAAGGUUAAGCCAAUUUUCCGGAGCCCUGGCCAUUGGCCCUGAUUAUGGCAAAUACUGUACAGUGUGUUACGCUUAAUAUGAUGUGUCAUUUGUCAAGGACAAUGUGAUAUCAAGUGAAAUAUGACUUAAACAGAAAUAAUCUAAAUUUAAAGUAAAUUGUGUUCACAGACACAUGAAUGUCAGUUUUUGAGAAAUCAGAUUUUAAAUACUUAGCCAUUUUUGGUAUUAAGCCCUUGUUGGAAACCUUCAGCAGCUGGAAAAAUGAAAAUCAAAGUAUAAAAUGACCCCUCAGCCAUUUAACUCAUUCACCCCUGAUAUUUCAUAAUGAACUAUACCAACCGUUGAAUUGGAAGAGUUCAAAUGUGUCUUCAGGGGUGAAUAAUAAAAGUCAUUAAUACUUAAUAUAAAACAACUUAAAUCGCAUAAAUAUGGACAGAAAAAAUGGUUCUUUUAUAUUAGGUAAACAUAUUAUUAUCAGAAGUAUUAAAAUAAAGCAGCAAAACAUAAAAAAUAAACCAUUGUUUUAAUGUGAUAUAAAUUGUUGAUUGUCACUAAACUUUUGUUGAUUUAAACAUAUUUUUAUUGCCUUGAAAAUGACUAAAAGGAUUGGGCACAAGUUCUUACAACUUAAUUUAGCCCUCUCCUAACUUAAGUACAUUUUACGUACAUCAAAUCUGUCUUAUUUUUUUUUUUAUAUUUAAGUUAAAUUCACAAAAUAGGUUGUUGACAACUGUUUCUCUGUACCCCAACCUCCUCAUAGAGAAUUAAGCGAUAUUUUCACACAGAUAAAGAAAAAAUAUUCUUCGAACAUGAUGUAAUUGUUGUAAAUAAGACUACUAGAAACGGUUUGUAUCCUUUAUGUACUUACAUACAUAGGUAAAGGUUUUACUGUUUUGUUCAAAAGUGAGAUCAUGAUUACCCCAGAGAAGUGUGUUUAUGUCUGUUAGGAGGAUCUCUGGAAGAUUUAAGUUCCUAAGAUUUCUUACCUGAGGUGAUUUCUUACAGUUGAGUAAUUUGGACAUGUAUAGAAAUAGUGAUGUACAUUUUCUACUGCCCCACUUAAACAUAAAGGUUUUUCGCCGAGGUUAAUUCUAUAAAGGUCAUAUUGUAGAUCGCUGCAUUCGUUCCUAAGUCUAGUGUGUAAAGUUGUCUAUUUUCUACUUUUGUUUGAUUAUAAUAAUACCACAUGUAUCAACAUAAGAGGUGUUCACAGUGUUGUGCUUUUGUCAAACUGGAAGUGUUGCAUUGAGAUUUGUGGGCCAAACAUUUGUUUGAGGUCAUUUCGGGUCAUUCUUGGCAAAUAAAGUUGUCCUAAGUCAUCUGUAGGUCUUAGUGGUCGUUCUGGUCCCAAAAAGUUUUUUGUGUGUCUCGGUGAUCAUUCAAUGGUGGUGGUAAAUAAAAAGAUUAAUCUGUCUCUGUUAAUUGAAACUAUCGAUAAAUCUUAUGCUGGAAUUAAAAUGGAACUAGAAUAUUACCUCAUGUCUGUAUGGAUGAAAAAUAUGUACAUGUACAUACAUGUUUCAAGGUUUCACAGAUGAAGUCAUGGCUUCAAGGUGAAAAUGCUUCUUAAAAUCAUAGAGGUCAGGUCAUAGUGCUUCUCAAGGUGGCACAGGUCAGGUUAUAGCUGCUCAAGGUCACUAGGGUCACUUUAUAGCUGUUCAAAGUCACUAGGGUCAGGUUAUAGCUGCUCAAGGUCACCAGGGUCAGGUUAGCGCUGCUCAAUGUCACUAGGGUCAGGUUAUGGCUUCUCAAUGUCACUGGGGUCAGGUUUUAGCUGCUCAAGGUCAAUAGGGUCAGGUUAUAGCUGUUCAAGGUCACUAGGGUCAGGCUAUAGCUGCUCAAGGUCACUAGGGUCAGGUUAUAGCUGCUCAAGGUCACUAGGGUCAGGUUAUAGUUGCUCAAGGUCACUAGGGUCAGGUUAUAGCUGCUCAAGGUCACUAGGGUCAGGUUAUAGCUGAUCAAGGUCACUAGGGUCAGGUUAUAGCUGCUCAAGGUCACUAGGGUCAGGUUAUAGCUGAUCAAGGUCACUAGGGUCAGGUUAUAGCUGCUCAAGGUCUCAUGAGUCUAAUACUUCAAAUAAUUAUACAUGUACAUCAAGUGUUCAUAGAUUGGAUGUCUGCUGUUAAGUUACUGAAAUUGGAGGACCAGCCUCUCAUUGAUAUUGGUUAAAUGCUGCAAAGUGACCGGGUCAGAACAAUUGUUUGAGGUUGAAUCUACAUUACGUUGUCUGUACAUGCCAAAAAAUGUAUACUGGAUUGGUUUAUGAUGAUUUGUAACAUUUCAUAUAACAAAGCCUUGUUAAUCUGGAACCGUCACAUUCUGGACAUUCAUGCUUUAAAACAUAUUUCACCACACGAAUUGUAAAUAUAGAUAAACAAAAGUGCUGUGAGGACCACUUUCUCAGGAAUUGAAGUUCAUGAAUAAUAUCAUAGAAAAGCACCUGGUGCAAAUAUUUCUAUAACGACUGAUGUCUGCGAGAAAAUUGUUGUUUACUGUGUGUUGUCAGGGGUCACACAUAAUCUUUAACCUGUUUCAGGUUAAAAAUUAUUGUGUUACCCCUAACAACACACAGGCAUGACUAAUCCUAUGUGAGCCUGUGGCCAGACAGAACUCCAGUGCCUAACCUGUCCUUUGUCACCCCUGAAAACACUGAAGUUGUAAUCAGUCCUUUACUACAUGUAUGGCUAGAAAUCACUAGAAACACUAAGGAGUGACCAAUCCUAUAUUAAUUAACUGUGUCUCAUCGAGGUGACAUCUAGAAACCUCCAGCCGUUAAAUGUGUCUGCUAAUUAAAAACAUUGAUUGACAACAUUAUGAUUUGUUCAUCUGUUAAUUUGUGAAUCUUGACAUUAUUUUUCAGAAUGUGUAAUGCACAGAUUAAUGAGGUUCAACUUUAUAUGUUGUUUAGCAGGUAAAACUUAUUUAAUUACGUGUGUAAUUAUACAAUUCUAACACUAACUGAGAAGGACCUGAAACUAAAGGGAUACCUGUCUAACCCAACACCUGAGUAUUCUGACAUCCUGUGUAAUUAAUAUUAGGAUUAAAUCUAUCAUUCAUGAAAACUUCCUGAUCAGGCCUGUGUGUUUUAACAUCCUGUGCAGUAUGACCAGUAUGAUAUGUCCCACAGGGUAUCAUAUUAGACAGGUUAAUUUAACCAAUGUAAUAUCCCACAGGGUAUCACAUUAGACAGGUUAAUUUAACCAAUGUAAUAUCCCACAGGGUAUCACAUUAGACAGGUUGAUUUAACCAAUGUUAUAUUCCACAGGGUGUCAGAUUAGACAGGUCAAUGUGACCAAUGUAAUGUCCCACAGGGUAUCAUAUUAGACAAGUUAAUUAGACAAAUGUUGUGUUCCAUAGGGUGUCAGAUUAGACAGGUUAAGUUAAAGAGAGUUUAGUUUUAACCAAUGUUAUAUCCCACAAGGUGUCAGACUAGACAAGUUAAUCUGACAAAGGUUAUAUACCACAGUGUAUCAGAUUAGACAGGUUAAUUUGACCAGUAUUAUAUGUCCCACAGGGUGUCCGAUUAGACAGGUUCAUCUGACAAAUAUAUUGUGUCCCACAGGGUAUCACGUUAGACAGGUUAAUUUGACAAAUGUUGUAUUCCCCCAGGGUGUCAUAUUAGACAGGUUUCACUGUAUAUUUGUUCAACAUAUACAAAAUGUUGAAGGUGAAUGAGUACAACAUAAACUGAAGGUUAAGAUGACUAACAGGCUGUUUGG